AGAGUUAUAACUACUAUCGUUGUCACAAGAAUAUAAAGAGUUUGUAUCGGUGGGGGUUUCUACUUUCACUAUCCACCAACCUGACAAAUUACUCUCAUUCUUCAUCGUACUCUCUUUUACCCAGGUUACUAUUUCUCUCUUCUUUUUGGUUUUACUCUGUCUCUCUCUUUCUUUUGGAGCUUUCUUGACUCUUGAUUCACAUAACUUAUAGCUAGUGAGUACUACGUAGUACGUACUAUAUUUCAAAGAACUUAUAAACAAAAGCAAAUUUUGUCAAGCAAAGGGAUCAUAUAGUGUGAUACAUCCUUCGUUUUUGAACAUAUAAAUGAUAUAAACGAUCUUUAUUUAUUUUAAGUGAAAACAUAUUUUUUGCUCCUUUCUUUCUGUUGUUCAUAACCAAAAAAAAAACACAUUUGGUUCGUUGUUUCUUGUUUCUAAAUGUGUUUUAUGAAACAAUUUUUUCAAUCUUUCAGGUUUUCUCUCUGAGUUAAAAGCUUGAAGAAACAAUGUCUCAAAAGGUGGGAGCGAUGGGUGGUCACAAGGGAGGAGCAUUCGAUGAUGGUGUUUUUGAUGGUGUUAAGAGAAUAACUGUUGGAAAAGAUUUUCGCAAUAUAAAUUAUAUCAGGAUCGAAU
rnacentral:lncRNA from 1 species